rnacentral:rRNA from 1 species
GUCUUUUUGAGUUAUUUUUAAAGUCUGACCUGCCCACUGAAAUUUUUAAAUGGCCGCAGUAUUCUAACUGUGCAAAGGUAGCAUAAUCAUUAGUCUUUUAAUUGAAGGCUGGUAUGAACGGUUGGACGAGGUAUAAGCUGUUUCAUAUAAAUUUAUAAUAGAAUUUUAUAUUUUAGUCAAAAAGCUAAAAUAUUAUUAAAAGACGAGAAGACCCUAUAAAUCUUUAUAUUUUUUUUUAUUUAAAUUUUUUGGAUUUAUUUUAUUUUUAUAAUGGAGAAUAUUUUGUUGGGGUGAUGUUAAAAUUUAAUGAACUUUUAAUUAUAAAAAUCAUUAAUUUAUGAGUUAUUGAUCCAUUAGUAGUGAUUAUAAGAUUAAGUUACUUUAGGGAUAACAGCGUAAUUUUUUUGGAGAGUUCAUAUCGAUAAAAAAGUUUGCGACCUCGAUGUUGGAUAAAGAUAUAAUUUUAGGUGUAGCCGCUUAAAUGCUAAGUCUGUUCGACUUUUAAAUUCUU